rnacentral:rRNA from 3 species
GAAACACCCGUUCCCAUCCCGAACACGGAAGUUAAGCUCUCCAGCGCCGAUGGUAGUUGGGGCCAGCGCCCCUGCAAGAGUAGGUCGCUGCUAGGC